rnacentral:rRNA from 1 species
UACGGAGGGUGCAAGCGUUAUCCGGAUUCACUGGGUUUAAAGGGUGCGUAGGCGGGCAGGUAAGUCAGUGGUGAAAUCUCCGAGCUUAACUCGGAACUGCCGUUGAUACUACUUGUCUUGAAUAUUGUGGAGGUAAGCGGAAUAUGUCAUGUAGCGGUGAAAUGCUUAGAUAUGACAUAGAACACCAAUUGCGAAGGCAGCUACUACACAAUGAUUGACGCUGAGGCACGAAAGCGUGGGGAUCAAACAGG